AGGGAUGGUUGCAGUUCACAGGAUGCAAUACAACACACAUCAUUCAUUGGACCUGAAAAGAACUGAGAACAAGGAAAUAUCGAGGAGGCAUUUCAAUCUGUUGAUGUAAUCAUUAAAGGUGAAUUCUUAAGUCUCUUUUCAUCAGGAGAGUUUUUGAUAUAUUGGUGCAAUUUUAAUCAAUGAUGCUGCUUCUAUAGAACUCGGGUACAGCAGAUUCCUCUUAAUUCUUCUCAUGGAAAUUAGUGGAGAAAUGGACUAUCCAGAACAUCAGACUCAGAGAGGAGGGGGGGUGUUUUAUGAAGGACCUUGUUUCCUUGGCCAAAACAAUUAGUACUGGUUCCAUAGACAAUAGAAGAUAUUUGAGAUUUUGAAUAGGAAGAUGACAGGAUAAGCAUUUCCCUUUAGCGACCCUGGCAGUGCAGUUGGUUGGAAGUGAGAGGAGAGUAUCCUGUGGAAAAAAGGUGGAAGUGUGCCAGGUGAAAGAUGAUGAGCGGUGCAUCGGAGUCUAGAGAAGAAUGUAGGUACAAGCACUGACUAGGUGUGAGGAGCAGAGGAGGAUCACAGAAAGCCUGGAAAUUAGAGAUUGGUUGACUGGGGAAAGGGUGGCAUCGUUAAUGACAUGGGAGACAUCAUGACAUGUUUGGAGGCAAGCAGAAGACCAGGGCUUUGAGGGGCCAGCAGGGCAUUCGCGGGGCUCUGUCCACAGGCAGUUUCAAGGGAAUUCUGGUGCUUCAAGAAAUGCUGAGGCUGGAGACGUGGGUUUGGGAGAAGCCAUGAGAGUGAAUGAAGUCACCAAAGGAGAGAAUCUGGAAAUCUGUGUUUAAAAUGUAUAUCUUGCUUAGUUCCACCAAGGUUUUGACAUGGCCUCCAAAUAAAAAGACAAGUACUUUAAGACCAAAAUCUGAAGUAAAGGGGGUGGAGAGAGAAGGAAUCAGUACUAGGAUUGCUGAAUGAUAAUUAUAGCCACCAAACACAUGGCAGAAGCUGGGGGAGAGAAGACAGAGAGAGAGAGAAGGCCUGAAGACAGAAGCUUUAGCAACUGGAUUUUUAGCAAUUGGAGUUACUAUGAAAUGCCCAGUCCUCUGUCAUCUAAAGAACUAAAACUGGCCGACUCUAAUAAUCCAAGGACGCCCAUCCUGGACCCUCAGGGUUAUGAACUCAAGGGCUGCCCGUAUAUAAAUAUUUCUGAUGCCAGGUCAGUUUAAAAUUUACAUUGAUAGGUUG
ensembl:lncRNA